rnacentral:rRNA from 1 species
GCAUCUGACCGGCCUUGAAGAGGCAUCCCUUCGGGGCAGAUGUGUAGGUGCUGCAUGGUUGUCGUCAGCUCGUGCCGUGAGGUGUCGGCUUAAGUGCCAUAACGAGCGCAACCCUCAUCAUUAGUUACCAUCAGGUAAGGCUGGGGACUCUAAUGAGACUGCCAUCGUAAGAUGUGAGGAAGGUGGGGAUGACGUCAAAUCAUCAUGCCCCUUAUGACCUGGGCUACAAACGUGAUACAAUGGCUGGAACAAAGGGAUGCGAAGCAGUGAUGUGGAGCGAAACCCAUAAAAACAGUCUCAGUUCGGAUUGAAGUCUGCAACUCGACUUCAUGAAGUCGGAAUCGCUAGUAAUCGCGGAUCAGAACGCCGCGGUGAAUACGUUCUCGGGGUUU